GCCCUGUUUUUGAUUUCCUGUGGGGAUUUUGAUGUCGUCUGGUGGAGAUACGAGCAUCUUUGUUUUCUUGGAAUGAAUAUGUUUUAUCUUAUAUUUAUUUAAUUCACUCUCUUUGGAGUGUGGUUUUGGUUUUUGUUAGAGCUUGUAUUAGAGCCAUCAGGAUCUAGGAUGGACCUUAAUAGCUGUUCAUGGAUCUCAGGGUCCUGCC
rnacentral:lncRNA from 1 species